rnacentral:rRNA from 1 species
CCUACGGGUGGCAGCAGUGAGGAAUAUUGGUCAAUGGACGGAAGCCUGAACCAGCCAUGCCGCGUGCAGGAUGACGGCUCUAUGAGUCGUAAACUGCUUUUGUACGGGAACAAUAGUUAUUACGCGUCGGGAUUUGAAUGUAUCGUACGAAUAAGGAUCGGCUAACUCCGUGCCAGCAGCCGCGGUAAUACGGAGGAUUCGAGCGUUUUCCGGAUUUAUUGGGUUUAAAGGGUGCGUAGGCGGUUGGAUAAGUUAGAGGUCAAAUGUCGGGGCUUAACCCCGGGCCUGCCUGUGAUACUGUUCGGCUAGAGUACGGGUGCAGCAGGCGGAAUGAGUGGUGUAGCGGUGAAAUGCUUAGAUAUUACGCAGAACACCGAUGGCGAAGGCAGCUUGCUAAUCCACGACUGACGCUGAUGCACGAAAGCGUGGGGAGCGAACAGGAUUAGAUACCCUAGUAGUC